rfam:Paenibacillus stellifer strain DSM 14472, complete genome.
ACAAAAAAUCGGGGCCCUCUUUCGAGGACCCCUUUCAUGGGAGAGGAGAAACCGGACGAAGAGCUUAUGGGGAAGCGUAAGCUUGCUUCGCGG